AGUCCUAACCCCCAGUACCUGAUAAUGUGACUAUAUUUGCAUAAAGCGUCUUUAAAAAGAUAAAUGAAGCUGGCUGUGGUGGUGCGCACCUGUAGGCCCAGCUACUCAGGAGGCUGAGGCAGGAGGAUCACUUGAGCCCAGUAGUUCAAGGCUGCAAUGAGCUGUGAUCAUGGCGCUGCACUCCAGCCUGGGUGACAGGGCAAGACUCUGACUCUUAACAAAUAAGAGUGAAAUAAAUGAGGUUAAAUUAGGUCAUAAAGGUGGGUCCUAAUCCAAUAUGACUAGUGUCGUAAGAAGAGAUUAGGACACAGACACACGCAGGGAAGACCAUGUGAGGAGCCAGGGAAAAAAUAGCCAUCUACAAACGAAGGAGAUAGUCCUUGGGAAAAACCAACCCUGCUGACACCUUGAUCUCAGACUUCUAGCCUCCAGAACUGUGAGAAAAUUAAUUUCUGUUGUUUCCCAGGCUGUUGUAUGUUACAGCAGCCCUAGGAAACUUAAUACACACAGGGUCGUCAAACGAAAGCUGCAGGAUUAUGCCCCAAUUAACUGAUUGCAGGAACAGUGCUCUUUUCCCUCCAGGCAGCAUGUACCUUGGCAUGAACUAGAAAAGGCUCCCAUUGCUAGAGAUAAAUUCUACUAUUUGUUAGGAAACUGACCUAGGAUGACCCCUAUGAGAAUGGUGCCCCUAGAGUUGCUCAGUGCCUGGCACGCACUACUGUACCUGGUGACCUAGAGUGGAAAGCACAUUUGGACACCCUCCACGGCAGCGUAACACAGGCCAUUGAUGAGGCUGAGGCUCCCCAAGCACUAGACAGCAGUAAGCUCUGUGAACAUGGGCUGAGAUGAGCCAGUGAAGCCUCAUAAUGUCCAAGCAGCACCUGCACCAGGAAGGCUCAAAGCGGCUUUUGACAUCUUCAGUGGUACUCGUAAGGUAUCAUCACAGAGGGGCUGUGUGGCCUGCAGGCAACCCUUGCUGUCUUCUCACUGUUUUAAUAGUGUAAGAACUUUGAAAUCUACAUGUAAUGUAAUGCAUUAGGUCUCCUUUUUGCCUAAAUAAUGUGAGAUUUGGAUUUAAUGUUGAUUUUGGUCAACUGGUUCAAAUAUUACAUAUCAUAUUGUAAUUAGAUUGCCUAAAAGUAUUUGUUCUCAAAAGAAUGAUUUUUAAAACAAGAGCAACAAGCCAAGGGGGUGACAGGGAGUGGUUACAGUUUGGCCAUCAUCCUAACAUCAGCCUUUUGGUUACACAAAAAUCUGUCCCAAAGA
rnacentral:lncRNA from 1 species